rnacentral:rRNA from 1 species
UACGUAGGGGUCUAGCGUUGUCCGGAAUCAUUGGGCGUAAAGAGCUCGUAGGCGGUUCGGCAAGUCGGAUGUGAAAUCUCCACGCUCAACGUGGAGGGGCCAUUCGAAACUGCCGUGACUCGAGUCCGGUAGGGGAGUGCGGAAUUCCCGGUGUAGCGGUGAAAUGCGCAGAUAUCAGGAAGAACACCCGUGGCGAAGGCGGCUCUCUGGGACGUGACUGACGCUGAGACGCGAAAGCGUGGGGAGCGAACAGG